rnacentral:rRNA from 1 species
UACCAGCACCCCGAGUGGUCGGGACGAUUAUUGGGCCUAAAGCAUCCGUAGCCGGUUCUACAAGUCUUCCGUUAAAUCCUCCUGCUUAACAGAUGGGCUGCGGAGGAUACUAUAGAGCUAGGAGGCGGGAGAGGCAAGCGGUACUUAGUGGGUAGGGGUAAAAUCCGUUGAUCCAUUGAAGACCACCAGUGGCGAAGGCGGCUUGCCAGAACGCACUCGACGGUGAGGGAUGAAAGCUGGGGGAGCAAACCGG